CCUCCCCUUUAUCUGGCACUCCCUUAGGUUCAUUCCCUAGUCAGUAUUGUUUCUGUGUUCAUGUCAAGACACUACUCCUAUGUUGUAUUGUUCCAUGUUCCUUAUUGUAUUAACCUUACCACCUGCACCUGCUUCUCGACUCCCAGCGUCUACGUUAUAGAAAACUGCCUCUACAAAUGGAAGCAGCAGGAAAUCAGAACAUCUCCCAGUCGGUCGACGAGAAUGGAUACCUACUUCGUCAACACCACGACCCCGGAUAAAUAUGACGGCACCCCAUCUAAAUGCCGUGGCUUCCUAGAGAGGAGGAGCUUUAUUUGUAUGAGGGGGUUAAUGGCUGUCUUCGAUCCUCCACCGGAGGGCAGAGCGGGACGUGAGUGCCUACUCCAACUUUGGCAGGAAGACUAGACGGCUGCCGAGUACACGCUCACCUUCCGGACAGUAGCAGCAUCCAGUGCAUGGAAUGAGCCAGAGCUUCAUACGCUAUUCUGAAGAGGACUGUGCCAGCUGGCACUGUCCUGUCGAGAUGACAACCUCUCCAUGGACACACUCAUCGCGAUAACCUACUUCAGUAGCGUCGGUGCUCUCCUCACUUCCCCCCCUCCCCCAGUGAACACUUUGGAUCAGAUCCUGAACCCAUGUAGGUAGGGGUCACACGCCUCUCCGUGGCGGAGCGACGCAGAUGAAGACAGCUGGGGCUCUGUCUCUAUUGAGGCGAAGGAGGGUACCAGCUCCAGCAGUGUCCAGUACGUCCCAACUCGGGAUCCACGAGAGCAGAGGGAUGAUCACGUGAUCUUCCACCUCCUAUGGCAGGACGUUAGUGUAUUCCGGUGUCGCGGGGAACUUCAUUGACCAGACCCUUGCCUCCUCUCUUAACAUCACCUCAUCCCGCUCUCCUCUCCUUUCCCAGUUCAAGCCCUCGAUAAUCGGUCACUAGGUUCUGGGACCAUCACGCACAUCACCAAACCACUCACCAUCACUGUGGAGUCCAUCCAUCAGGAGAACACUGCCUUCAUCACCAGCUCACAAGAUCAUCCUCUGCCUUCCUUGGCUUCAAUUGCCAUAACCCCACCAUCUCAUGGUCGAGGAUGUGGUUCCACGUUGGUUGAGAGUCCCGUGGUUGCCCUUUAGCCCAACAUCCUGGAGGUAUACCAGGAUCUGCGGGAAGUAUUUUCCAAAACCUGCGCCACCUGUCUCCCUCCUCAUCGCCCCGGGACUGUGCCAUCGAUCUGCUUGCAGGCUCUGCGUCCUCACAUCUACCCUCUGUCGGUGGUUGAAACCAAGGACAUGGAGGAACCACCCUGGAUGCAACAGGUUGGGCAAGAUUGAACUUGUUAGUCAAUAUUUCUGACGUUAUAAAAGGAAAUUGCUUAACAAACCAUGAUUCUUCAUUACAUAGAUUCCCUAGAUAUUUCUAUCUCCAUUUUAGACUGCUACUGUCACGACUUCCGCCGAAGUUGGUGACUCUCCUUGUUCGGGCGGCGUUCGGAGGUCUUCCUCACCAGUUUUCUAGCUGCCACUGAUCCACAUUUCUUUUCCCAUUUGUUAUAUCUUGAUUGUACACACCUGGUUCCCAUUACGUUAUUAUUAUUUCCCUAUUUAACCCUCUGGUUCUCAUUAUGUUUUGUGUGUGAUUGUUCCUGUUUUGUGUUAGGGUUUGUUAUCCCUACGUGAAUUUAUUGUACUGUUUAUUUUUCCUGAGUAAAGUACGUUAUUUUUACUCA